rnacentral:rRNA from 1 species
GAUGAACGCUAGCGGGAGGCUUAAUACAUGCAAGUCGAACGGUAACAUGGAAGCUUGCUUCUGAUGACGAGGGGCGCACGGGUGAGUAACGCGUACACAAUCUACCUAUUACAGGGGGAUAGCCUCGGGAAACUGAGAAUAAUACCCCAUAGUAUUUCUUAAUCGCAUGAUUAAGUUAUUAAAGUUCCGGCGGUAAUAGAUGAGUGUGCGUGCCAUUAGAUAGUUGGUGAGGUAACGGCUCACCAAGUCGACGAUGGCUAGGGGGCGUGAGAGCGUGAUCCCCCACACGGGUACUGAGACACGGACCCGACUCCUACGGGAGGCAGCAGUAAGGAAUAUUGGACAAUGGGCGAAAGCCUGAUCCAGCCAUCCCGCGUGCAGGAUGACGGCCCUAUGGGUUGUAAACUGCUUUUAUAUGGGACGAAACGCCUUCAUUUAUGGGGGCCUGACGGUACCAUAGGAAUAAGCACCGGCUAAUUCCGU